AGCAGCCGCGGUAAUUCCAGCUCCAAUAGCGUAUAUUAAAGUUGUUGCAGUUAAAAAGCUCGUAGUUGAAUUUCGGGAUCAGUUGAUCGGUCGUGCCUCGGUACGUACUGGUCAAAUUGAUUCCUACCUUCUGACGAACCACGAUGUCAUUAAUUUGGUGUCGCGGGAAAUCAGGACUGUUACUUUGAAAAAUUAGAGUGUUUAAAGCAGGCUCGCGCUUGAAUACAUUAGCAUGGAAUAAUGAAAUAGGACGUUUGAUUCUAUUUUGCUGGUUUCUAGGAUCGACGUAAUGAUUAAUAGGGAUAGUUGGGGGCAUUAGUAUUCAAUCGUCAGAGGUGAAAUUCUUGGAUUUAUUGAAGACUAACUACUGCGAAAGCAUUUGCCAAGGAUGUUUUCAUUAAUCAAGAACGAAAGUUAGGGGAUCGAAGACGAUCGGAUACCGUCGUAGUC
rnacentral:rRNA from 1 species